GGCCGGUCCAAUGUUACUGGGUUAUCAGAACUUAUUAACAUCAGUGUUAUCAAAGUUGCACACAUCCCCUCACUGUUAAAUUUGACAGGGUUCA
rnacentral:Y_RNA from 10 species